rnacentral:lncRNA from 1 species
CGGCUAUCUUUUUAAGAGAAAAAUAAAGCCAUGGUAUUUUCAUACUUAAAUAUAUGUGGUUGGAUGACUGCUUUAUGUUCCUAUCAUACUCAAUGCUUUCAAGUACUUGGGUUCCAGGAAGGACUGUGAAAGAGAUGAGAGGCCAUGGAUGCAGCAGCUGUUCCUGGGAGAACUAAGUGGGACAGUGGAGACAGAUGAAGGAAGGGCAGAAAAAGAAAAAUAUACUGUGGAAGAGCACUGGAGUUGGAUCAAUGGGAAUGUGUUGUAUGACCAAGAGUUGAAGAUGUUUCAAGGAGAGGCCCAGCAUAUACAAAGGCAUGGAAGUAUGAAAAUGGGUCUCCUUCUGUUGCCCAGGCUGGAGUGUGGUGGCAUGAUCAUGGCUCACUGUAGACCUCCUGGGCUCAAACGAUCCUCCCGUCUCAGCCUCCUGAGUGGUUGGGACCACAGAUAAGGAAUUCAGGCACAGAGAAAGUAAGUAAUCUUCUGAAAGUCACAAAGCUGGAGCCAGAAUUCAAACUUAGACUUCAGGCCAGGCGUGGUGGCUCAUGCCUGUAAUCCCAGCACUUUGGGAGGCUGAGGUGGGCGGAUCAUGAGGUCAGGAGAUCGAGACCAUCCUGGCAAACAUGGUGAAACCUCGUCUCUACUAAAAAUACAAAAAAAAAAAAAAAAAA